GCCCUCAUAGCUCAGUGGUAGAGCGCGUCACUAGUAAUGACGAGGUCUUUGGUUCGAUCCCAGAUGAGGGCA
rnacentral:tRNA from 1 species